rnacentral:rRNA from 1 species
CGAACGUUAGCGGCGCGCUUAAUACAUGCAAGUCGUACGGGAAAGGGGAUUUCGGUCCCUGAGUAUAGUGGCGCACGGGUGAGUAACACGUAGGUAAUCUACCCCCCGGCGGGGGACAACGUUUCGAAAGGAACGCUAAUACCGCAUACGACCACAAUCGCUUCGGCGGAUGUGGGGAAAGCUGGCCUCUCCAUGGAAGCUAGCUCCGGGUGGAUGAGCCUGCGCCCCAUCAGCUUGUUGGUAGGGUAACGGCCUACCAAGGCUUAGACGGGUAGCUGGUCUGAGAGGAUGAUCAGUCACACUGGCACUGGAACACGGGCCAGACUCCUACGGGAGGCAGCAGUAGGGAAUAUUGGACAAUGGGCGCAAGCCUGAUCCAGCGACGCCGCGUGGGUGAUGAAGGCCUUCGGGUUGUAAAGCCCUGUGGGGAGGGACGAAAAAGGUGGAGGCGAAUAGGCUUCACCCUUGACGGUACCUCUUUAGCAAGCACCGGCUAACUCU